AUUCAGAUACAUCUUUCAUUUUUUGGCAUAUUUGUAAUUUAAUACUAUAUCAUUGUAUUCUGUACAACGACGUUCUUAUACGAAAAAUGAUAAGCUUUAAGUACAAGCGUCAGAGACUAAAAGGAAAAAGGUUCGGAUAUAACAGGAUACUAAAACCAAUUUGACAUAAUACCGCAAAAGCUUCAUUUUCAAUGACGAUAUAGAAAAAGGCCAAGGCACGUAGCGACUACAGUGGCAGACGCACUGGCAUAAUACAUCAAGACAGGCAACGUGUACGUUGCCUCACUCUAACCGAUGAGACUCGACGUGGUGGUAAUUCAGUCAACCGGCGCAGACACGACUUACUUUGAGAAAACACAAAAGUUGCGUGCAAUUAUUGGGUUGCAUAAAGAUACAUGGCCCAUAAACAACGCUUUUAAAGACUCUUCACGGAACCGAAAAAAAUAAUUUUCUCUGCGAUCAGUGAAGCGUGAUCUCGGAAGGGCCCUGUGUCCGGAGGGUUCCUUGUCUUUAAUCAAUAACAAAAGGGUUGGUGUACGGGGAGUGAGCAGGAAAUUGCAUCGUCGAAAGGAGCCGACAUGAGCGGCCAAGUGGCCGCGGUUGGAAACGGUCUUUAACAAUUUCCGAUCAUUUUCCCGCGCCUAUAACUGUAGACCCUCUCCACCCUCCGCCGCAGUUCCCCAUCAUGAAACGUCGCCGCUCGAACGCGGUGAAACGUGAGCUGAGCAAAUCGGUGGAAUUUACGCCAUCUCUCUAACCACCAAGCUCGAGUGACCGACUGGAGAACGAAGAAAGAACAAAACCAGCUAAAGAGGAUACCUCGAGGA